rnacentral:lncRNA from 1 species
GAUAAAUAUAUUUCAGAGCAAGAUUGCCAAUUUAAAUACAUAUUAUAUAUCAUAUAUGUUAUAUUUUAUUCAAGAUAAAGCUGUGGCCAAAUACUGCCAAAACCUUAUUAUCUAUUUGUUAUGUUUUGGGCCUCGAGGAUAAAAGGAUUUAAAAUCUACAAUUUUAAAGCCCGUUAUCCAUUGGGUACAAACUCGAAGAUUUUAAUUUGGGCAGGUGGUGGUUCACUGUUGGGUAUUUAACAUUUGUGUUGAUUAGUUUGAUCGCAACCUCGCUUUGGUCUUUUCGAAAUACGUCGGCAAGGUUGCAGCAGACGAAAAUUGGACGAGAAAAUAAUCUUCUUAAAAAACCCACCACCCUCCCAAUGUAAAUUAAUUUUGUGUUACAUGUGUAUUUGUUCUGAAUGGAAGUAAGAAACCAGAUACUGCUUUUAAGUUUAUAUUUCAGCUUAUUUCUGCUAAUGGUACUGAGAUGGGAGAGUAGG